rnacentral:lncRNA from 1 species
CCAAAUUUAACCAACACCCUUAUGUUAAAUCAAAAUCAGAAGUUAUAUAAUUUAUAAUUAUUGAGAGUUAGUCUCACCCUUACCUUAAUUUAUGAAUCAAAGCUCUACAAAAUCGAGCAUCUUUCUCUCUUGGCUCUUCUCCCUUUUUCUCCCAAAAGCUCUUGUUUCUACGUGAAAAUUGUUUCUCUGACUCUUGGUUC